rnacentral:rRNA from 1 species
CAAAAAGUGAAAGACGGUCUUGCUGUCACUUAUAGAUGGAUCCGCGCUGCAUUAGCUAGUUGGUAAGGUAACGGCUUACCAAGGCAACGAUGCAUAGCCGACCUGAGAGGGUGAUCGGCCACACUGGAACUGAGACACGGUCCAGACUCCUACGGGAGGCAGCAGUAGGGAAUCUUCCGCAAUGGGCGAAAGCCUGACGGAGCAACGCCGCGUGAGUGAUGAAGGUCUUCGGAUCGUAAAACUCUGUUAUUAGGGAAGAACAUAUGUGUAAGUAACUGUGCACAUCUUGACGGUACCUAAUCAGAAAGCCACGGCUAACUACGUGCCAGCAGCCGCGGUAAUACGUAGGUGGCAAGCGUUAUCCGGAAUUAUUGGGCGUAAAGCGCGCGUAGGCGGUUUUUUAAGUCUGAUGUGAAAGCCCACGGCUCAACCGUGGAGGGUCAUUGGAAACUGGAAAACUUGAGUGCAGAAGAGGAAAGUGGAAUUCCAUGUGUAGCGGUGAAAUGCGCAGAGAUAUGGAGGAACACCAGUGGCGAAGGCGACUUUCUGGUCUGUAACUGACGCUGAUGUGCGAAAGCGUGGGGAUCAAACAGGAUUAGAUACCCUGGUAGUCCACGCCGUAAACGAUGAGUGCUAAGUGUUAGGGGGUUUCCGCCCCUUAGUGCUGCAGCUAACGCAUUAAGCACUCCGCCUGGGGAGUACGACCGCAAGGUUGAAACUCAAAGGAAUUGACGGU